rnacentral:rRNA from 1 species
GGAUUAGAUACCCUGGUAGUCCGCACCGUAAACGAUGUAUGCUUGGUGUUCCUACUAUGUAGGAGUGCCGGAGGAAAUCCGUUAAGCAUACCACCUGGGAAGUACGAUCGCAAGGUUGAAACUCAAAGGAAUUGACGGGGGCCCGCACAAGCGGUGGAUUAUGUGGUUUAAUUCGAUGCAACGCGAAGAACCUUACCAGGGCUUGAAGUGCAGUGGACUUUCGGUGAAAGCCGAUUUUCCUUCGGGACUGCUGCAGAGGUGCUGCAUGGCUGUCGUCAGCUCGUGCCG